AUACGGGGGGUGCAAGCGUUAUUCGGAUUUAUUGGGCGUAAAGGGCGCGUAGGCGGCUUGGUAAGUCAGAUGUGAAAGCCCGGGGCUCAACCCCGGAAGUGCAUUUGAAACUAUCAGGCUUGAGUAUGGGAGAGGGAAGUGGAAUUCCUGGUGUAGAGGUGAAAUUCGUAGAUAUCAGGAGGAACACCGGUGGCGAAGGCGACUUCCUGGACCAAUACUGACGCUGAGGCGCGAAGGCGUGGGGAGCAAACAGGAUUAGAUACCCGGGUAGUCC
rnacentral:rRNA from 1 species